AAUUAUCAUUGAGUGAAAUUAAGGAUGUUUUUUUUUAAUACAAUCAGGAAAUAGGCUUAGAAGCGGCCAUUUUUUGAAGACCUCGUAACAGAGCACUGAUUAAACUUUUUAGAAAAAAACACCGAAAAUUUAACGGAUCUAAAUGAUAUACCGAAACCUUGUACACAUAUGUAUAAUAAUAAAAUAUUGUCUAUGUGGGGUAGCGGAACGUUGGAUAAAUAUUAAUUAUUAUUUCUUAUUAAGAAAUAAUAAGUAUGGUUAAUUAACCAUCAAUAUAAUCCAAGAGAUAAUGCUGACAUGAGUAACGAAAAAGGAAUAACCUCGCCUUAAGCUUAUGGUAUUAUAUUUAAUUUUCGGUGUCUAAAAGUAUUAAUCAAAAGGUAAUUUUGAUGAUAUUUAUAUAUAAAUACUUAAAAGUUAAAAACAAAACCUUUAAUAAGUAAUAAAGGUUCUGGAAAAUUUUUAAACUUUAUAUAAAAAUUAUUAACUUUCGGUAAUAGCCUUAUAAAUUAUUAUCGAUAUAUUAUAUUGUAUAUAUAUUAUAAUUUGUUACAAGUUUGACAAAAUUGUAUUGUAAAUUCAAUAUAAUAGAAAAAUUAAUAAUUAAAAUAUAUAUUUAUAUUAAUAUUAUUGUAUUUAUAAUAAGGCUAAUAUACAAUUAAUAUUAAUAUAUUAAGGUUUAUAUAUACCGUACCUAGAUACUAUCACAAGUAAGCAAGUAGAGAAUACAAAGGCGUUUGAGCGAACAAUCAUUAAGGAACUCGGCAAAUUGACUACCGUAACUUCGGGAUAAGGAGGGCCAUUAUCAUAAGUUUAACAUAUUUAAAAGGUAUGAUAAUUAAACUUAUGGUAAGAGGAAACAUAAAAUAAUGUUGUACGACUGUUUAAUAAAAACACAGCACUCUGCAAAGAUAAAAUAUCAAAGUAUUGAGUGUGAUGUCUGACCACUGUCGGCUG
rnacentral:rRNA from 1 species